GGGCCCGUAGUCUAGCGGUAGGAUGCCCAGGGGCGGAGCCCCGCAUUAGCCUGACGCGCGGGUGAUCCCGGGUUCAAAUCCCGGCGGGCCCA
rfam:Pyrobaculum aerophilum str. IM2, complete genome.